CCGACGGACGCUUCCUGCGAUCAUGCGGAUAGUGAGUGGCACCACCGGUGGCCAGGACAUUGUACCUGCGGCUUGCAUGGAUAGCCUCGUACAAUGCCCUACCCCUCUGGCACGCACGUGGAUUUCCCCACCAUGAAUGCUUAGCAUUCCAGUCACCGCAUAAGAGGAAGCUGGCCGCUGUAUCGCCAGCUUUCAAUAGAAUGGGUGCGCAUUGGAUCGAAUCUUCAUUUAUUGGCUGCAGUGCCGAAUGACUGAUGCCAGUACGUACCAUGAGGGCAGCACCUCCUUUGCGGUGUGUGUUCGGAUUGACGGCAAAGUAUGUUACAAAUCCCGGCAAUUCGAACACACUGUCGUUGAUUGGCGCUCGUAUUUCUGCAUUCCAAAAGGCGAUCUUGAGGGUGUCAUGGCUAUCUGGAUCUGGCAGCACUCCUGAAAUUGAGCCAGAGUCCAGAUUUGGAUAAGCUGCAGCAUCAUCUAUGCGAUUAGGCAUUAUAAAUUAGUUCAUUGGUUGAUGCG